UAACUGAAGAGUUUGAUCAUGGCUCAGAUUGAACGCUGGCGGCAGGCUUAACACAUGCAAGUCGAGCGGGGGAAGGUAGCUUGCUACCGGACCUAGCGGCGGACGGGUG
rnacentral:rRNA from 1 species